AGGAUCAUAGCUCAGUUGGUUAGAGCACCACGUUGACAUCGUGGUGGUCAGCGGUUCAAAUCCGCUUGAUCCUA
rnacentral:tRNA from 1 species